AUUGAACGCUGGCGGCAGGACUAACAAAUGCAAGUCGAGCGGAGCGGCGGCCGGGUGAUUAAUGCCUAGGAAUCUGCCUGGUAGUGGGAGAUAACGUCCGGAAACGGGAACUAAUACCACAUAAUAUCAGCUGAGCCUAGGACGGAUUAGCUAGUUGGUGGGGUAAAGGCCUACCAAGGCUACGAUCCGUAACUGGUCUGAGAGUAUGAGCAGUCACACUUGAACUGAGACACGUUCCAGACUCCUACGUGAGGCAGCAGUGGGGAAUAUUGGACAAUGGGCGAAAGCCUGAUCCAGCCAUUCCGCGUGUGUGAAGAAGGUCUUCGGAUUGUAAAGCACUUUAAGUUGGGAGGCGUUACCAACAGAAUAAGCACCGGCUAACUUCGUGCCAGCAGCCGCGGUAAUUC
rnacentral:rRNA from 1 species